UACGUAGGGUGCGAGCGUUAAUCGGAAUUACUGGGCGUAAAGCGUGCGUAGGCGGUUCGCUGUGUCCGAUGUGAAAGCCCCGGGCUUAACCUGGGAAUGGCAUUGGAAACUGGCGGGCUUGAGUGUGGCAGAGGGGGUGGAAUUCCGCGUGUAGCAGUGAAAUGCGUAGAGAUGCGGAGGAACACCGAUGGCGAAGGCAGCCCCCUGGGUUAACACUGACGCUCAGGCACGAAAGCGUGGGGAGCAAACAGG
rnacentral:rRNA from 1 species